rnacentral:rRNA from 1 species
AGAGUUUGAUCAUGGCUCAGAACGAACGCUGGCGGCGUGGAUAAGACAUGCAAGUCGAACGAGACUUUUCGUUGUAGCAAUACGAUGGAAAGUUUAGUGGCGAACGGGUGCUUAACACGUGGGCAACCUGCCAUGAAGUGGGGGAUAGCUCGCCGAAAGGCGAAUUAAUACCGCAUGUGAUUAGAGAGGACAUCCUUUCGAAAUUAAAGUCGGGGCAACCUGACGCUUCUUGUGGGGCCCGCGGCCUAUCAGCUAGUUGGUGAGGUAACGGCUCACCAAGGCUUUGACGGGUAGCUGGUCUGAGAGGACGACCAGCCACACUGGGACUGAGACACGGCCCAGACACCUACGGGUGGCAGCAGUCGAGAAUUUUUGACAAUGGGGGAAACCCUGAUCGAGCGACGCCGCGUGGAGGAUGAAGGUCUUCGGAUUGUAAACUCCUGUCAUUGGGGAACAAGGUGCACAUGUUAACUGUAUGUGCAUUGAUAGUACCCGAAGAGGAAGAGACGGCUAACUCUGUGCCAGCAGCCGCGGUAAUAC